GACGAACGCUGGCGGCGUGCUUAACACAUGCAAGUCGAACGGAAAGGCCCUGCUUUUGUGGGGUGCUCGAGUGGCGAACGGGUGAGUAACACGUGAGUAACCUGCCCUUGACUUUGGGAUAACUUCAGGAAACUGGGGCUAAUACCGGAUAGGAGCUCCUGCUGCAUGGUGGGGGUUGGAAAGUUUCGGCGGUUGGGGAUGGACUCGCGGCUUAUCAGCUUGUUGGGGGGGUAGUGGCUUACCAAGGCUUUGACGGGUAGCCGGCCUGAGAGGGUGACCGGCCACAGUGGGUCUGAGGGACGGCCCAGACUCCUACGGGAGGCAGCAGUGGGGAAUAUUGAACGAUGGGCGGAGGCCUGAUGCAGCAACGCCGCGUGCGGGAUGACGGCCUUCGGGUUGUAAACCGCUUUCGCCUGUGACGAAGCGUGAGUGACGGUAAUGGGUAAAGAAGCACCGGCUAACUACGUGC
rnacentral:rRNA from 1 species